rnacentral:rRNA from 1 species
AACGAACGCUGGCGGCAUGCCUAACACAUGCAAGUCGAACGAGACCUUCGGGUCUAGUGGCGCACGGGGGCGUAACGCGGGGGAACCUGGCCGUAGGUUCGGAAUAACUCCCCGAAAGGGGUGCUAAUACCGGAUAAUGUCUUCGGACCAAAGAUUUAUCGCCUUGGGAUGGGCCCGCGUUGGAUGAGCUAGUUGGUAGGGUAAAAGCCUACCAAGGCGACGAUCCAUAGCUGGGCUGAGAGGAUGAUCAGCCACACUGGGACUGAGACACGGCCCAGACUCCUACGGGAGGCAGCAAUGGGGAAUAUUGGACAAUGGGCGAAAGCAUGAUCCAGCAAUGCCGCGUGAGUGAUGAAGGCCUUAGGGUUGUAAAGCUCUUUUACCCGGGAUGAUAAUGACAGUACCGGGAGAAUAAGCUCCGGCUAACUCCGUG